AUGCCCUGGACCAGGACUCUCCCGCUGUGGAUCGGCCGGGCCCUCCGAAGGAAGGCAGCCCCAGGGACCGCUCAGGUGGCAGCUACUUCCUACAGAAACCUGCUUCACGGUGGUCAAGAAGACCAGGAACUGCAAUUCUCUCCCAUCGGCCUCGGGAUGACCCCAGAAGCGGAUGGUGUGGUGGAGGAGGAGGAGGAGGAGGAGGGUUAUGAAGAGCCGGAUAGCAAUGAGGAUUCUGAGGCCUAUGAGAAUGGGGACUCCUUUUCAGAGCAGGACCAGCUCUCCCAAGAUGGAUUUUGCUAUGAGAAUGCUGAGGGAACGUCUCAGGGGCCUGAGAAUGAAGAUGAUGAUGAAGAUUCCUUCUCCGAUGGUGACUCUUACGAGAAUGAGGAUGAGGAGCUGCCCCUGCCUGAGGCCCCAGUGACAGGUAGAGGAAGGGAACACCUCAGGGAGUGGGAUUAUAGGGUAGGGGUGAGAGCAGUCCUCCAUGUCCCCCUCUUCCACUAG
rnacentral:lncRNA from 1 species